rnacentral:rRNA from 1 species
CCUACGGUAAGCAGCAGUGGGGAAUAUUGGACAAUGGGCGAAAGCCUGAUCCAGCCAUGCCGCGUGUGUGAAGAAGGCCUUCGGGUUGUAAAGCACUUUCAGUGGGGAAGAAAGCCUUGGGGCUAAUACCCUCGAGGAAGGACAUCACCCACAGAAGAAGCACCGGCUAACUCCGUGCCAGCAGCCGCGGUAAUACGGAGGGUGCGAGCGUUAAUCGGAAUUACUGGGCGUAAAGCGCGCGUAGGCGGUCUGAUAAGCCGGUUGUGAAAGCCCCGGGCUCAACCUGGGAACGGCAUCCGGAACUGUCAGGCUAGAGUGCAGGAGAGGAAGGUAGAAUUCCCGGUGUAGCGGUGAAAUGCGUAGAGAUCGGGAGGAAUACCAGUGGCGAAGGCGGCCUUCUGGACUGACACUGACGCUGAGGUGCGAAAGCGUGGGUAGCAAACAGGAUUAGAUACCCUAGUAGUC